rnacentral:misc_RNA from 1 species
GGUUUUAGUAUGCACACUCGCGUAUGACAGCAGAAACGACGCAUACGCAUUAAAUAUACAAUUAAUAGUUUAAUUGACGAUACCGAAAUUCGCAGAAGAAAUUUGGAUAAAAAAAAAUUGAUAUAAAAAGAAAAGUUUGACGGAUAAAAGUAGAGAAAGAACUCGACGUAAUCGAAAAUGAAGUUGGUCGUUAACGACAAUGUUUUAAUAUGAAAUUGACGAGGUUCAAUCGACCAAUUCCAUUGGCAUAAUGCUGACGAGAGUGGAUGGAAAGGAAGCCUGAGGGAUCCGACUAAAGGAAGCGAGAUUCCUUCUCGCUGGGUUAAGGAUCGAUCCUUGUACACACUAUACCGCUGGCUAACAAUAAGGAACAUUUAUAUCAAUAAACGUCCGCAAAGAUUUUCUCUUUCCCACAACGCUCUGCAAGGUCCCUUGCCCACUUUUAAAACUGAUUAGAAAACCCGUUGCAUUCACUACUUUGCUUUUCACCUGAAAACCAACCGAAAAAAAAUAGAGAUAUUUUCAUUCCCGAAUUACUUUUAAAUUCCCUUGUUUUUUUCAUUGAAGAAAAUUUAUGAAACAAUAAUUUUCAACAAUCUGAAAUCAGAGCCGUGAAUUGUAGGGUAUCUUUUCUUUUUUGAAUCAGGCUUUUGCAAUUUGCUAGUUAUAUUUCUGGGAAUGCAUGAAUAAUUUGACUAAAUUGCAUAAUUACAUAUAUUUGUACAUACAUGAAAAAAAUAUGCUCAGAUGUAUAAAUUCGAGUGAAUGCACGGAAUUUAUUAUUAUUUUUUAAUGCAUACGCCCGAUGAAUACGAGCACGUAUUUUGUACAUGUAUAUGAACGUAAAUAGUAUGUGGUAUGUAGAGAAAACUUUUCUGAAAAGUGGGCGUUUCCCAUAUAUACUGUACAUAUAAAUACCUAUACGUCGUCUGCAGAAAAAUG